UACGGAGGGUGCAAGCGUUAUCCGGAUUCACUGGGUUUAAAGGGUGCGUAGGCGGGCAGGUAAGUCCGUGGUGAAAUCUCUGAGCUUAACUCAGAAACUGCCAUGGAUACUAUUUGUCUUGAAUAUUGUGGAGGUGAGCGGAAUAUGUCAUGUAGCGGUGAAAUGCUUAGAUAUGACAUAGAACACCAAUUGCGAAGGCAGCUCACUACACAAUUAUUGACGCUGAGGCACGAAAACGUGGGGAUCAAACAGG
rnacentral:rRNA from 1 species